rnacentral:lncRNA from 1 species
UGGACCAUGUCAAAAUUCCAAAAAGGUUGGGACACUGUGCAGUUGCCUUGCCUACCAAACACCUUCUUAACACCGUAUCAUAUUCCUAUCAGUUCAAAUCAAGUUGUCCACUCCAGAAUGUUACACGUUUAAACAACUUUUGCCUAUCACUAUUCAUUUUAACCACAAUAGACCUAGUCAACUUUUUUUUUUUUCUGCAUUGGUCAAAUUUCG